rnacentral:tRNA from 3 species
GCAUCAUUGGCCGAGUGACUAGGCAGAGGCUUGCAAACCCUCGCAGCAUGGUUAAAAUCCAUGAUGGUGCU